UGGGGAAUAUUGGACAAUGGGCGCAAGCCUGAUCCAGCCAUGCCGCGUGAGUGAUGAAGGCCCUAGGGUUGUAAAGCUCUUUCACCGGUGAAGAUAAUGACGGUAACCGGAGAAGAAGCCCCGGCUAACUUCGUGCCAGCAGCCGCGGUAAUACGAAGGGGGCUAGCGUUGUUCGGAUUUACUGGGCGUAAAGCGCACGUAGGCGGACUAUUAAGUCAGGGGUGAAAUCCCGGGGCUCAACCCCGGAACUGCCUUUGAUACUGGUAGUCUUGAGUUCGAGAGAGGUGAGUGGAAUUCCGAGUGUAGAGGUGAAAUUCGUAGAUAUUCGGAGGAACACCAGUGGCGAAGGCGGCUUACUGGCUCGAUACUGACGCUGAGGUGCGAAAGCGUGGGGAGCAAACAGG
rnacentral:rRNA from 1 species